GUCCUAUUGUGACAGCUGUUGACUACAGUUUCCACAGAGUCACAGUAAAUACAUGGAAGGGAAGAAACUUUCAUAUUUCCUGAGAGAAUCGAACAUAGUGCAGGACUGCAGAACUGCAGGAUUGCACAGCAUGUUUUAGACUAUGACUAACAUAUUUAUCUUCCAUUUAGGCCCAGGAGUUUAGAUCCCAGUCACGAAAAGAUACUGCAAGUAGUGAAGAGGACAUGCUGGAGCAGCUAGAGAGUUCGAAAUAUGACUUUCUGCAACCAAAAGUUAAAACAGGAUGUCGAACAGAAGAAUUAGAACAUCCUCACAUGAACUCGGGUGGUAAAAGUUGGGCCCAGGAGUUUAGAUCCCAGUCACGAAAAGAUACUGCAAGUAGUGAAGAGGACAUGCUGGAGCAGCUAGAGAGUUCGAAAUAUGACUUUCUGCAACCAAAAGUUAAAACAGGACGUCGAACAGAAGAAUUAGAACAUCCUCACAUGAACUCGGGUGGUAAAAGUUGGGCCCAGGAGUUUAGAUCCCAGUCACGAAAAGAUACUGCAAGUAGUGAAGAGGACAUGCUGGAGCAGCUAGAGAGUUCGAAAUAUGACUUUCUGCAACCAAAAGUUAAAACAGGACGUCGAACAGAAGAAUUAGAACAUCCUCACAUGAACUCGGGUGGUAAAAGUUGGAUGUUUAGCUCCCAGUCACGAAAAGAUGCUGCAAGUAGAGAAGAGGAGAUACUGGAGCAGCUAGAGAGUUGGAAACGUGACUUUGUGCAGCUAAAAAUUACCACAGAAUGUAAAUCAGAAGAAUUAGAACAGCCUCAGAUGAGCUUGGAUGGUACAAGUUGGACGUUUAGCUCCCAGUCACGAAAAGAUGCUGCAAGUGGAGAAGAGGACAUGCCGGAGAAGCUAGAGAGUUCGAAACGUGAUUUUGUGCAGCGAAAAGGUCCCACAGAAUGUCAAAUAGAAGAAUUAGAACAGCCUCAGAUGACCUUGGAUGGUAAAACUUGGGCCCAGACGUUUAGCUCCCAGUCACGAAAAGAUGCUGCAAGUAGAGGAGAGGACAUGCUGGAGCAGCUAGAGAGUUCGAAACGUGACUUUCUCCAGCUAAAAGAAACCACAGAAUGUCGAACAGAAGAAUUAGAACAGCCUCAGAUGACCUUGGAUGGUACAAGUUGGACGUUUAGCUCCCAGUCACGAAAAGAUACUGGAAGUAGAGAAGAGGACAUGCUGGAGCAGCUAGAGAGUUUGAAACGUGACUUUGUGCAGCUAAAGGUUACCACAGAAUGUCAAAUAGAAGAAUUAGAACAGCCUCAGAUGACCUUGGAUGGUACAAGUUGGACGUUUAGCUCCCAGUCACGAAAAGAUACUGGAAGUAGAGAAGAGGACAUGCUGGAGCAGCUAGAGAGUUUGAAACGUGACUUUGUGCAGCUAAAGGUUACCACAGAAUGUCAAAUAGAAGAAUUAGAACAGCCUCAGAUGACCUUGGAUGGUACAAGUUGGACGUUUAGCUCCCAGUCACGAAAAGAUGCUACAAGGAGAGAAGAGGACAUGCUGGAGCAGCUAGAGAGUUCGAAACGUGACUUUCUCCAGCCAAAAGUUACCACAGAAUGUCAAAUAGAAGAAUUAGAACAGCCUCAGAUGACCUUGGAUGGUACAAGUUGGGCCCAGACGUUUAGCUCCCAGUCACGAAAAGAUGCUGCAAGUAGAGAAGAGGACAUGCUGGAGCAGCUAGAGAGUUCGAAACGUGACUUUCUCCAGCUUAAAGUUACAACAGAACGUCAAACAGAAGAAUUAGAACAGCCUCAGAUGACCUUGGAUGGUACAAGUUGGACAUUUAGCUCCCAGUCACGAAACGAUGCUACAAGGAGAGAAGAGGACAUUCUGGAUCAGCUAGAGAGCUCGAAACGUGACUUUCUCCAGCUAAAAGUUACAACAGAAUGUGAAACAGAAGAAUUAGAACAGCCUCAGAUGACCUUGGGUGGUACAAGUUGGGCCCAGGAGUUUAGAUCCCAGUCCCGAAAAGGUGCUGCAAGUAGAGAAGAGGACAUGCUGGAGCGGCUAGAGAGAUUGAAACGUGACUUUCUGCAGCUAAAGGUUAAUAAAGAAUGUCAAACAGAAGAUUUAGAACAGCCUCAGAUGACCUUGGAUGGUACAUGUGGGGUCAAUAAAGAAGUAAAUCACAUAUUUGACUCUAAUGAAGCAAUGCUACCAUAUCAGAGAAAGUCAGUGGACUGUGAGAUAUUCAGUUUUGACACUAUUAUAGAUCUGGUUGACCAGCUCAAAAGGCAGAGCAAAGAUCCUGACAUCCUACUUAUAAUCUGGUAUGCAAUUCACUCAUACAAAAGAUCAAUGGAACUUCAAAACUAUAAAUUUGAACUGAUUUCUGAGAAAAAUAAAAAAAUUAAAGAUCAAGUUAAUUUGCUGAAAAAGGACCUUAAAGUAGCAAAAGAAGCAAAGUUAGAUCUAGAACUUUUGAAGACUAAACUGCAGGGAGAACUGUCCAAUAUAAGGCUUGAACAGGAAAAUUCAAGUUUAAGAAAUAAAGUAAGACAGAAUACUGGGAAAGAUGAAGAACUUCUGAAAGAUUCAUCUGAAAAAGAUGAAAAACAAUUAAAGAAGUAUACUAAGGAAAAUCAAUCCCUGAAGAAUAGAUUGGAGAAGGAAUGGAAGAAAAAUAAAGAAUAUGUAAAAGAGCUAGCCAGGGUAAAGAACAUUUUUAAAAUGAGACAAAAGAACUUAAAUGAAGAAGAAAAUACAAAGUCUACUUGUCCUGAAGAUUUAAAUACUAAUCAAUCUGAAACAGAGGAGAUUAAUGUACUGAGACACAAGAUUGAUCUUGCCACAGAAAAGCUAAACCAAGUGUUAUUUCACUGUGAGCAACUUAAAAACGAAAACCAGCUUCUACAUCAGAAGGCUGAAGCUAUGACAGCUAUCCAGGAGAAACACAAAAUGCUUGAAGACAGACGGGAGAUGCUCAACCAGGAAUUCUUAUCCAUUGAAACUCACAUGCAAAAGAAUAUGAUAGAGCGCAGAGAGGCAGAAACGUUAAAGCAAGAGAUUGAAGAACAAUCCAGGCUGCAACUAAUGGAAGUUUUGGACGGAAUUUCUAGGUUUUCAAAGACCCAAUCUCAAGCUCAUGAAAAAGCAGAGCAGGAGAAAGAAAAUUCUUUUGCUUUGAAAUUAUCAGACAUGGAAUGCAGAGUCAAAGACCUGGAAUCCAAACUCUGUAGAGCCCAAGUUCAGGAAGAUUCUGUCAGAUUCAAGCUAGAGGUAUACCAGCAAUGCUAUCUUGACCAGCUAAAGGUUACAACAGCACUGACUAAACAAAUCAAUGCUUCCAAGAAUCAAGAGCAGGUGGAGGAAGAUAGUACUAGUACAAGGCUCACUUCAGAGGAAGAACUUAUUACACAUCCAUAUACCAGGGGAGUGUACAUUCCAGAGAAAACUGGUGUUUCACAUCAUCGUCACUCCGUUGAAUUCAAUGGAACGUUUACUCCUAGUUUGGGGACAUCAAGUCACCAGCAGAGAGUGAAAGCUCGUCAGCCUAAGUUGCCAAGAUUCUUGUAA
rnacentral:lncRNA from 14 species